rnacentral:rRNA from 1 species
GUGUCAGCAGCCGCGGUAAAACGUAGGUGGCGAGCGUUAUCCGGAUUCAUUGGGCGUAAAGAGCUUGUAGGUGGCGGCGUAAGUUGGACGUGAAAUCGCCCGGCUCAACCGGGCGGGGUCGUUCAAUACUGCGCGGCUGGAGGAGGUCAGAGGGAAGUGGAAUUCCUGGUGUAGCAGUGAAAUGCGUAGAUAUCAGGAGGAACACCCGUGGCGAAGGCGGCUUCCUGGGGCCAUCCUGACACUGAGAAGCGAAAGCUAGGGGAGCGAACGGGAUUAGAAACCCCAGUAGUCC